AUUGAUACUGCAAGUCUUGAGUGUUGUUGAAGUAGCUGGAAUAAGUAGUGUAGCGGUGAAAUGCAUAGAUAUUACUUAGAACACCAAUUGCGAAGGCAGGUUACUAAGCAACAACUGACGCUGAUGGACGAAAGCGUGGGGAGCGAACAGGAUUAGAUACCCUGGUAGUCCACGCCGUAAACGAUGCUAACUCGUUUUUGGGCUUUUGGGUUCAGAGACUAAGCGAAAGUGAUAAGUUAGCCACCUGGGGAGUACGAACGCAAGUUUGAAACUCAAAGGAAUUGACGGGGGCCCGCACAAGCGGUGGAUUAUGUGGUUUAAUUCGAUGAUACGCGAGGAACCUUACCAAGGCUUAAAUGGGAAAUGACAGGCUUAGAAAUAGGCUUUUCUUCGGACAUUUUUCAAGGUGCUGCAUGGUUGUCGUCAGCUCGUGCCGUGAGGUGUUAGGUUAAGUCCUGCAACGAGCGCAACCCCUGUCACUAGUUGCCAUCAUUAAGUUGGGGACUCUAGUGAGACUGCCUACGCAAGUAGAGAGGAAGGUGGGGAUGACGUCAAAUCAUCACGGCCCUUACGCCUUGGGCCACACACGUAAUACAAUGGCCGGUACAGAGGGCAGCUACACUGCGAAGUGAUGCAAAUCUCGAAAGCCGGUCUCAGUUCGGAUUGGAGUCUGCAACUCGACUCUAUGAAGCUGGAAUUCGCU
rnacentral:rRNA from 1 species